rnacentral:rRNA from 1 species
UGGGGAAUAUUGCACAAUGGGCGCAAGCCUGAUGCAGCCAUGCCGCGUGUAUGAAGAAGGCCUUCGGGUUGUAAAGUACUUUCAGCGGGGAGGAAGGUGUUGUGGUUAAUAACCACAGCAAUUGACGUUACCCGCAGAAGAAGCACCGGCUAACUCCGUGCCAGCAGCCGCGGGAAUACGGAGGGUGCAAGCGUUAAUCGGAAUUACUGGGCGUAAAGCGCACGCAGGCGGUCUGUCAAGUCGGAUGUGAAAUCCCCGGGCUCAACCUGGGAACUGCAUCCGAAACUGGCAGGCUUGAGUCUUGUAGAGGGGGGUAGAAUUCCAGGUGUAGCGGUGAAAUGCGUAGAGAUCUGGAGGAAUACCGGUGGCGAAGGCGGCCCCCUGGACAAAGACUGACGCUCAGGUGCGAAAGCGUGGGGAGCAAACA